AUAUUCUCUUCAUCGCAAUCUCACAAGGAUGCCGCCAUGUCUCCUGAAUCUACACCUGCAGGGCUUUGGUAGUCCAUGAAACAAAGGUACGGGGUUCGGUAUGAACAAGGAACAGCUGAGUCAAAGUUGAAGUCGGAUUUGUAGUCAAAAUUUAGGUUAGUGACUGUCGAUCUGUUCAGAAGUGCUUGGCAGUCAUAUGCGACAAUAGUAUGAACCUUCUGUACAUAAAAAUUAAAGAUAAACAAGAAAAAAGUCACUAAAUAGCAAAGUCGGGUUGGAGAUUACUCCAUUCUCCAUCGGUACCAUCUUCGCAUAUUACUUUUAAUAACUUUCCUGUCUCAUCUUUAAUAGGGGAUAGUUGGGUAAGCUGAGCCAAAGGGGACCUGAGCCCUAGGACCAUGCCUCAGGACUACCUGUCCUGAUGACUCCUUGCUGUCCCCAGUCCACCUGGUCGUGCUGCUGCUCCAGUUUCAACUGUUCUGCCUGCGGCUAUGGAACGCUGACCUGUUCACCGGACAUGCUACCUGUCCCAGAACUGCUAUUUUCAACUCCCUAGAGACAGCAGGAGCGGUAUAGAUACUCUGAAUGAUCGGCUGUGAAAAGCCAACUGACAUUUACUCCUGUGGUGCUGACCUGUUGCACCCUCUACAACUACUGUGAUUAUUAGUAUUUGACCCUGCUCAUCGUCUAUGAACAUUUGAACAUCUUAGCACUGUUCUGUUAUAAUCUCCACCCGGCAGAAGAUUACCUGCCACCCCUCAUAGCCUGGUUCCUCUCUAGAUUUUUUCGUAGGUUCCGUCCUUUCUAGGGAGUUUUUCCUUGCCACCGUGCUUCUACACCUG
ensembl:lncRNA